rnacentral:lncRNA from 1 species
UCCCCUUGAGUCUCCAGUUAAACUAUCCCCUAGAUUAUGGAGGCCCAGUCUAGUAAAAGCUUGUGGUCCCCUCCCUCUCUUACGAUUCCCCCAUAUCGCUCUUGCUUGUCCCAGUGAACCAGAAACUUCCUCCGCUCUCUCUCUCUCCCUGUGCACCUCUAAAGAAAGUGCCUGUAAAAACUCUCUCAUAUGUUUUAUUCGCUUUUCAUGUUCCAAACGUGCUCUUCUCCCUUCUUCACGCCCCAGAGGAAGGUAGAG